rnacentral:lncRNA from 10 species
CAAUAAACGCGAGUCUCACUAGCUGGUCAGGGCCACAGUCACAGCUGUUUACAGGACUCUGCUGGAGUCUGUAAGUGGCUUGGACACUCAGCUGGACUGGCAAAGCAGAAUAUCUGUGUGUCAGUGUACUUCAUUCAUCCGUCGCUGGGUCAGGGUCUGGGGGUCAGACCCCUGCAGCUGGUGCCCCUGUGUGAGGAACGCUACCACACAUCCUGGCCUGGGCUGGGGAGUCCAUCCAAUGGAAUAUAUUUAAGGUAUGAAAAGGGCCUCGUUCAGUUCCUGGAGCAAGGGAGCCACCCGAUAAUGCCUUCCCUUGCACCCCAGAUGAAGCCAAGCACAGUGAGAGAAGCAUCUCCAGAUCUCUAUCUGGUGGAGCUGCUGGACUUCCCUCGGGGCAGGAACAUGAAAUCUGAGGGAAGAUACUUUUGGAACCUUGAAUCUGAAAGGAACUCAAUGUUUUGCAUCCUUGGGAUUGCCAGAGAUUGGCAGAGGAGAGUCAAACAAGGACACAGAGAUGGAGCAGCCUUGAUAAGGCAAUCUGGACACAAAGGGACACUGGGGUACAUAUGUACAGAAAAAAGACCAUGUGAAGACACAGUGAGAAAGUGGUCAUUUGCAAGCAAAGAAGAGGUCUCAGAAGAAUGCAAACCUGCUGACACCUUGAUCUCAGAAUUCUAGCCUCCAGAAUGAUGAGGACAUUGAGGCGCAGAGAAAUUAAGUGACCUUCCUCAGAGUCACAUAUGACAGCUAAAUGGUUACAAAGUCCAUAGUAACUAUAGGAUCCCUGUGAUGUUGUGAAAUAUCUAUUUGGUCUUCAUCCCAGUCUCCUAGCGCACAACUCCUAAAAUCCCUGGACUCUUCAAAGUGGUAAGUGUCUUUCUGAACACUGAUGACUUGACUGUUGGCUGGAAGCCCUUAGGUAGCUUCAAGAUGGGAGCUGGUCACCCAAAAGACAAAGGUAGGAUCAGAGGGUUGGGACUUUCAGCCCAUUCCCCAGUCUCCAAGGAGAAAAGAGGUUGAGUUUAUUGGUUUCAUCAAUUGGGCCCAUGUAAUGUAGCCUCCAUAAAGCCUCCCAAAGACAGUGUUUGGGGAGCUUCGGGAUAGCUGAAGACGAGGUUCCUGGAGGGUGGUGCACCUGGGGAAGGGAUGGUAACUCCAUGCCCCUUCCCAUAUGCCUUGCAUCUCUUCGUCUGUAUCCUUUUGUUUAUAUCCGUCAUAAUAAGCCAGUAAGGGUAAGUUUCUCUGAGGUCUGUGAGCUGCUCUAAGAAAUUAAUUGAACCCAAAGAAGGGGUUGUGGGAACUCUUAUUUAUAGUCAGUCAGAAGCACAGGUAAACCAACCUGUGGGCUUGUGAAUUGCAUCAGAAGUGUGGUGUAGGAGCUUGUGAAUUGCAUCAGAAGUGUGGUGUAGUGGGUAGUCUUGGGGACUGAGCCCUCAACCCGUGGGAUCUGAU